UUUUUUCACUCUCCCUCAAAGGCUUCUGGCUUAAAAUGCCUUUUGUGCUAAUGCUAGAGGUCUUUCGAGUGAGAGUGAAUAA
rfam:Solanum tuberosum cultivar DM 1-3 516 R44 scf00010_147, whole genome shotgun sequence.